rnacentral:rRNA from 1 species
UUUUAUGGAGAGUUUGAUCCUGGCUCAGGAUGAACGCUGGCGGCGUGCCUAAUACAUGCAAGUCGAGCGAACGGACGAGAAGCUUGCUUCUCUGAUGUUAGCGGCGGACGGGUGAGUAACACGUGGAUAACCUACCUAUAAGACUGGGAUAACUUCGGGAAACCGGAGCUAAUACCGGAUAAUAUUUUGAACCGCAUGGUUCAAAAGUGAAAGACGGUCUUGCUGUCACUUAUAGAUGGAUCCGCGCUGCAUUAGCUAGUUGGUAAGGUAACGGCUUACCAAGGCAACGAUGCAUAGCCGACCUGAGAGGGUGAUCGGCCACACUGGAACUGAGACACGGUCCAGACUCCUACGGGAGGCAGCAGUAGGGAAUCUUCCGCAAUGGGCGAAAGCCUGACGGAGCAACGCCGCGUGAGUGAUGAAGGUCUUCGGAUCGUAAAACUCUGUUAUUAGGGAAGAACAUAUGUGUAAGUAACUGUGCACAUCUUGACGGUACCUAAUCAGAAAGCCACGGCUAACUACGUGCCAGCAGCCGCGGUAAUACGUAGGUGGCAAGCGUUAUCCGGAAUUAUUGGGCGUAAAGCGCGCGUAGGCGGUUUUUUAAGUCUGAUGUGAAAGCCCACGGCUCAACCGUGGAGGGUCAUUGGAAACUGGAAAACUUGAGUGCAGAAGAGGAAAGUGGAAUUCCAUGUGUAGCGGUGAAAUGCGCAGAGAUAUGGAGGAACACCAGUGGCGAAGGCGACUUUCUGGUCUGUAACUGACGCUGAUGUGCGAAAGCGUGGGGAUCAAACAGGAUUAGAUACCCUGGUAGUCCACGCCGUAAACGAUGAGUGCUAAGUGUUAGGGGGUUUCCGCCCCUUAGUGCUGCAGCUAACGCAUUAAGCACUCCGCCUGGGGAGUACGAACGCAAGGUUGAAACUCAAAGGAAUUGACGGGGACCCGCACAAGCGGUGGAGCAUGUGGUUUAAUUCGAAGCAACGCGAAGAACCUUACCAAAUCUUGACAUCCUUUGACAACUCUAGAGAUAGAGCCUUCCCCUUCGGGGGACAAAGUGACAGGUGGUGCAUGGUUGUCGUCAGCUCGUGUCGUGAGAUGUUGGGUUAAGUCCCGCAACGAGCGCAACCCUUAAGCUUAGUUGCCAUCAUUAAGUUGGGCACUCUAAGUUGACUGCCGGUGACAAACCGGAGGAAGGUGGGGAUGACGUCAAAUCAUCAUGCCCCUUAUGAUUUGGGCUACACACGUGCUACAAUGGACAAUACAAAGGGCAGCGAAACCGCGAGGUCAAGCAAAUCCCAUAAAGUUGUUCUCAGUUCGGAUUGUAGUCUGCAACUCGACUACAUGAAGCUGGAAUCGCUAGUAAUCGUAGAUCAGCAUGCUACGGUGAAUACGUUCCCGGGUCUUGUACACACCGCCCGUCACACCACGAGAGUUUGUAACACCCGAAGCCGGUGGAGUAACCUUUUAGGAGCUAGCCGUCGAAGGUGGGACAAAUGAUUGGGGUGAAGUCGUAACAAGGUAGCCGUAUCGGAAGGUGCGGCUGGAUCACCUCCUUUCUAA